rnacentral:rRNA from 1 species
CGAAUACUUCCCUAAUCCUCACGGAUUGUAUUGUGUUUGCACGAAAAUAAUGACGACAGUACUCUACAAAACGGUACCGUCAGUACACUCAUUUUUUUUCCUCAAAUCAAGUAGGACUACCCGCUGAACUUAAGCAUAUCAAUAAGCGGAGGAAAAGAAACCAACAGGGAUUGCCUCAGUAACGGCGAGUGAAGCGGCAAAAGCUCAAAUUUGAAAUCCCCCCGGGGAGUUGUAAUUUGAAGAUUGCGUCUUGGAGGCGACCGUGUCUAUGUUCCUUGGAACAGGACGUCACAGAGGGUGAGAAUCCCGUGCGGCACGGCCCCCGGCUCCUUAUAAGGCGCUCUCGACGAGUCGAGUUGUUUGGGAAUGCAGCUCAAAGUGGGUGGUAAAUUCCAUCUAAAGCUAAAUACAGGCGAGAGACCGAUAGCGAACAAGUACAGUGAUGGAAAGAUGAAAAGCACUUUGAAAAGAGAGUGAAACAGCACGUGAAAUUGUUGAAAGGGAAGGGCAUGCCGUCAGAUUGUCAGUGUGGGUAAGAAGCGGGGUACAAAGACUGUGGAACGUGGCCCUCGGGUGUUAUAGCCGCAGUUCAUGCCCCGUCUCUUCCGAGGCCU